GCUCAGACGUGCCUGAGGUCACUGGGCACAUCCUGGCGGCCGCGCCCACCGCCCGACUGCAGCAUCUGUGAUCCUCUCAAGGUCACCCCAGGGCAGAGCUCCGCACCAGCCACUGCUCCCCCUUUGUUAUGCUCGAAGGCCGGUCAGCUGGCCCAGGGUUUGGGCUGCCAGGAAAGCCGGCCAGUUCUGGUCAAGGCCAGCCCUGCCCUGCCAGACCAUCUCCCAGGCUGCUCUCCAGGGGAGGCCGUAGGCUUGGGGAGCUUGGCGCUGGGCUCUCCCGAGGCUGCAGACGUAUCUGGGCUGAAAGCAGACCCUCCCCACCCAGCUUUUUGUGCAAGGGGCCGCUGGGGGCCAGGGCCCUCCCCGUGCCCUGAUUCGGACCCUUGCUGGAGCAGAUAAAAGCAGCCCCGCAGCCCACCCACCUCGCAGUUGCAAGCGUUGGGGGACAGCUGGUGCGCCCCGAUUAAACCGAUUCAUUUUGCCCGGCGCGGCAGGGCACCGAAGGGCCUCUGGCUGGUGACUGGCACUCUGCGGGGCGCCCGGAACCAAUUUCCGGAGGGUGAUGGAUUUCUUCUCCUUGGCUGCUCUCAAGCUGCGCUUCCUUCUGUGGCGGGGAGCAAAGCACUUUCAGAAGAGCCCGUCUCCUGGGACUGACCCCCGGGGAGGGGGCUUCGGAAGGCAAGUCCCAGCAGCCGGCCCUCGGCCCUUCUGCACGGUGGUGGGGCCGACUGUCCCCUGAGGCCCGAGGGAAGCCAGGGGUUUCAGGGCCCUUCUGGACACCUUCACGCUCCUGCAGACUUCCACAGCCCCUCUUCCUACUCUGCUGCCAGCGUUUCUGCCUGCGCCCCGCCCCAGAGGAGGCCACCCACUUAGGCAGAUGUGAGUAAAGACAAUCGUCCAGAGGUCCCCGAUGUUAUCAGGGACCCAGUGCAGAAGGACACGAAUCGUGGGGGUCUGAACCGAGACGACAUCUCAUCAGGAAACAUCCGGGCCAGGCCCACCUGUGAGUGACGGCAGGUGGAAGAAAUGAACACAUCCCUCCCCUCCGGACCCCGCCGGCCGGAACCAGGGGAUGUUGGACGUGGCUCCUCCCCUCUUAAUAUAAAAGACGCCUGACCUCUAACGCAGAUCAAUUGGUCACGUCUCCCUCAGAGGCCUUCCUGGACCAGUUGGGCGGCGGGAGCAUCUUCUGACCUUGAGAAGCGGGCUGAGGGACUAGAGCCUGUCUGGGCUGAUCCCAGGAGAGGCGCAACAGCUGGCGCCUGACUGCCUGCACCUGCUGGGGGGUGGGGGCGGGUGGACGCUGGAGACGGAUCUGGGGACACUUAAUGGGGUAGAGAGCACUCCACAGCCUUUUAAGGGGAGGAGGUGACAGGGCUGAUGGAAGUGAUUUCCAAUCUGAACAAGGCCAGACGUGACCACCGUUUGGAGGUGGCAGCCCGCAAACCCAGCACGGAGGGUCCGAAGUGAACGCGAAUCCCCCUAAAACCAAGUCCCUCUGCGGAGUUUAUGAUUCCAACACCUGUUCCCCUCAACACGGAGGCGCAUCAAAGAAAAGGGGGCGUGGAAACCAAGCAGGACCAAGCCUUUCUGUGUCCCCCGUUCCUGGAUUGCAGGGACAAGGCUUCAGCCUCCAAGACCUUCCCUGAGUUCCAAAGAGCAGAUUCAAACCAUUAGUAAUUAGGCCAGGAAGGGGAUGCUGAAGCGAUGGAGGAGCCCCCAAGAAACAAUAAAGCAGCAUUAAAGCAGGGCCCUUACUACGGCUGUGAGUUUUUCUACCCAGGGGGAGGACGGGACCUCCAGGCUGAGCACAAGCACGUGGACCCAGGCUGGGUGGAACCGGAAGCCUGAUGACCACGCUUCCCAAGCACCGCCCUCUUACCCCCACCAACUCAUCAGAAGACGGCCACACACCUGCAGCCCAUCUCCCAGAUUUUGCCUAUAAAACCUCUUCCCUGAAACCCCACGGGGAGUUUGGGCGUUGAGCGCACAGACUGUCGGUUCUCCUUGCUCAGCCCUUGCAGCAAACUUUCUCUGCUCCGAACGCUGGCGUUUUGGUUUGGCCUCACUGCGUGGUGGGCAGGCAAACUGGAUAGCCCCAGGCUUAGGUAGGGCUGCGGCGGUGGACGCCAGCCAGUGGAGACCUGGUCUCGACUCCCAGAUGAAGACACUGAGGUUCAGAGAGGCUCAGAGUCCUGUGCGGUGCCACAAAUCCAGAGCGUCUCAGAGCCGGGGUUCAAGGCUCAGGUGAGCCCAUCUGCAAGAAAGAUACUGGACACAUGUGCCAAAGCCCCCGCUGGACAUGAGGGCUUUAGUUCAUUUGGAAUUGAUUUCCACACGUAGGAUAAGGUAUAUACAAACGGUCUGUUUUCCCGUAUGGACAGGCGGGCAUCAUCGUACGGACUAUUGCCUGGCUCCCUCUUCCCACCGCUGAUUUGUACUGAGACCUCUGUCCUUCGCCAGGUUCCCUCACACGGAUCAUCUGCUCUGGUUUUCCCAGUCUGUCUCAUCCGUUUAUUUGUCUUCGAUCCAAGCCACACUAUUUUAUUUCUGCGUAUUGCUUUGUUUGUACUUGCAUCUGAAAGGUCAGCUCUCUUAUCCAUCUUCUUCCAAACUGGCUUGGCGAUUGCUGGACUUUCACACGUGGACCCAGGGGCAGGUGUGGUGGACCACGGGGCGAAGACAGCAUGCUAGGGAUGGCGAAACAAGAUCGAUGGAGUCUGGGUCCCCGGACCGCCUCAGGAACCACAGACACCAGCCCUGGACCACCUCCAGAUACGAGAGGAAGAAAUACGCGUGGGGCUGAAGGCGCUAUCAAUUUGCAUGGAUAUUAACUAAGUGCAGCCAAAUAUUUAUCUUAAGUGCUGUUCUUGCCUGCUUUGGGGAGCAAAGUCCCGCUGCCCCUAUGAAAGGAGCUGGGGAGCCCUUCCUCCAGCCCCAUCCCAGGAAAUUUCUAUGGGCCAGUUUGUUCCUGAUGAGGAUUAAGUGUCCCUUGGAGGUUUCGUAAAACCUGUCUUGCACAGAGUUCGGAAAAGGAUACCCAGUGGGUACAUCUGCCCACCCCUGCCUCCAAGAUCACCAAUGUCCGCUGUUAAACUCCUACCCAUGCCACCCCCCAAACCCAGAAGACCGCUCUGCAAAAGCCUGCAGCAGCACCCCAACCUCUGGGUCAUCAGAAAACAGAGAACAAAAUUCUUCUCAUCAAAAAAAAAAGCUGGAAUCUACCUGCCCUGCGAAAUCUUUAUGUAAAUUCAGACAGAUUUGCAGUCUUCCUGGUGCAUCAUUUUUGGUCUCCAGCCAGGUCUCAACCGAAGAUAAGAAGGCGCCAGCGGAUUGCCGGUCAGAGCCAGACCUGCCAGGAGGAUGGGAUGCUGUUUGGACGAGGACUGGAGGUGGGAGUUCACAUCUCUAAACCGUGUCCCAGAGAGCCCCAACCUACAGCUUACCUGCCAUCCUUAACAUCGUAAUUGAGGCCCUUGAAAAAAAGGUGUGGGGGGAGACACAGGUGGAAGAAAAUGGAAUAAUUUGAGCUAUUACAAAACAAAGCUUUCUAAAGGCAUGGCUUUCCUCAGGAUGUGCUUCGGCCUCUCAUGGCUCUGGCCACGCCUGACGUCCACCCUCCGAGGCUCUCGGACGCCUCUCUGUCACGUUGCCUAAUCAUGUUCACCAUCGCCCAGCGCAGGCUGCACGGUGCCGUGUGGCAGGACGGCGGAGUCGAAGGAGACAGAGACUGGGGCAGUGAGACUGCAAACAGGUUUAUGGACCAGCAGAGAGGCGGGGGCACUGAGCAGAGAGAACGCAGCCACCCCCACCCCCCGCCACCACCCCGCCACCUCCCCCACCAUGGGGGCAAGGGCUUUUUUCUGGCUAGGGUUUCCUGUGACAGGUCACCUAGUCUCCGGGAAAAACAGGACGGGGGCUUGGGAAAGAGGGAAGGAGGAUUUCGGUCAUGACGUGUGAAUCUGAACGGUCCUUUUGGCUCUGAGGAGGUUUAUUUGAGGUUUAACAGCUCCUCAGUCGUCUUGGGCCUGGGGCCUUCCUCCGGGCCGGAGUCUGUUUCUCCUGUUUGUGUCUCCGCUGAAGUCGUGUCUGGAGCCUGGGUGGGGUCUCGCUGGUGUGCCCACGUUACAUCCUCCGCUUGGAAUUCUCCCUCCAGGUCGUAGAUCCCGCGCAGUGCAGAGGCAGGCGACCGCCGAGUCUCAGGGGCCCCUUGUGACCAGUGUCCCUCGUGGGUCAGCUAAGGCCCUGCCCCCCACCCCCACCCCGUGAUGACAGAGGCAGGGGUUAGAGUGACAGGCACAAAUCAAGGAACCCUUGGGGUCACCGGGGACCGGAGGGGGCAAGGAUGAAUUCCUCCCCCGCCCCCAGGGGUCUCAGGACAGAGCUUGAUCGGGUGCCACCAUGAUUCCCGCCCUGUGGCCUCCGGAA